rnacentral:rRNA from 1 species
AUUGGAGGGCAAGUCUGGUGCCAGCAGCCGCGGUAAUUCCAGCUCCAAUAGCGUAUAUUAAAGUUGUUGCAGUUAAAAAGCUCGUAGUUGGAUUUCUGUUAAUAAUUUAUAUAUAAUAUUUAACAUAUUUAUAUAAUAUUAACAUAAUUCAUAUUACUAUUUUGAUAGUAUAUGAAACUUUACUUUGAGAAAAUUAGAGUGCUUAAAGCAGGCUUUAGCCUUGAAUACUAGAGCAUGGAAUAAUAUUAAAGAUUUUUAUCUUUCUUAUUGGUUCUAAGAUAGAAAUAAUGAUUAAUAGGGACAGUUGGGGGCAUUUGUAUUUAACAGUUAGAGGUGAAAUUCUUAGAUUUGUUAAAGACAAACUAAUGCGAAAGCAUUUGCCAAGGAUGUUUUCAUUAAUCAAGAACGAAAGUUAGGGGAUCGAAGACGAUCAGAUACCGUCGUAGUCUUAACCAUAAACUAUGCCAACUAGAGAUUGGAGGUUGUUCCUUACUCCUUCAGCACCUUAA